GAGGCUAGCUGAAACGGGGUGAGAGUGGAUGGUAAAACACAGAGGCUAGCUGAAACAGGGUGAGAGGUGGUGGUAAAACACAGAGGCUAGCUGAAACGGGGUGAGAGUGGAUGGUAAAACACAGAGGCUAGCUGAAACGGGGUGAGAGUGGAUGGUAAAACACAGAGGCUAGCUGAAACGGGGUGAGAGUGGAUGGUAAAACACAGAGGCUAGCUGAAACGGGGUGAGAGUGGAUGGUAAAACACAGAGGCUAGCUGAAACGGGGUGAGAGGGGAUGGUAAAACACAGAGGCUAGCUGAAACAGGGUGAGAGGUGAUGGUAAAACUCAGAGGCUAGCUGAAACAGGGUGAGAGUGGAUGGUAAAACACAGAGGCUAGCUGAAACGGGGUGAG